GCGGGGGGGUCCUAGCUCCCAGGCCGCGGCUGGGACGUGUCUGCGGGCCUGGUCGCCUCCGACUGGAUCGCGGGGGGCGCCGGCUGCCGCGGGUCGUGGGUGGGAGCGCGCGACGACCCCGUCCCCCAACCCCGUCCUCCGGCUCCCGGAGCAGCAGCGGGUCCCGCGUGGGCGCGCCUGGUCGCCCCGACGGCGUCGCCGCCGCGCAUGCCGCGACCUGGCCGGGCACGGGGCGUGCUGGGCGGCCGCCGCCCGGUAUCCCGAAAGCCACAGCCCGGGCCCGGAGUGCGCACGAAACCCGGAGGGUCCCGAAUGGCGCUUGCAGGGUUCUGCUCCGUGGCGGCUCGGUGUCCAGCCACAAAAUGCAGCCGCCGCGUAGAAAAGAAAGAAGGAAAGCGCCCGUGCCCGGUUUCCGGCCCCGCGAAAGCCACCAUUUGCAUGUGCGAACUUGCGGGGAUAUAUACACGCGUGGCGGGCAGGCGGGUUCCCCGCAGCCAGAUUCAGAUGGAUCGCCUCACCGCUCUGCUCACCGUUCUUUGGCUCCCCCUCCAAUGAAAAACCCGGACCUCAGCAAGGCCUGGAGCCCCAGGGUGCUCCGACCCGCUGACCCCUUGCUGACCUGAUGUCCACUGCCUCCCCUGUCAAGGUGGCUGGAGCCCCUCUCCCACCCCGAAACAGGCGAGCAGGGGGACCCGGGAUUUCCAGGGCACGAGCUUAUGCCAAGCUUCCCUUCCGCAGCAGCUCUUUCUGUCUGAAUCUCAAGGAAAAGGGGAAGUAAGAACUCCUCCUGACUUAGCUGGGCUCUGCACUUGGUGUUUCCUCUCCUUGCCCACAGGCCGGCAAGGCCGCUCCAGGUGUUCUGCCACCGCAGUGAGCCACACCGGAGGGAACACACGGCCUCCUUAUUGUCGCCUUACCCUCCUUCUAGUUGCUUUUAUAACAUUUAUUUCCUCCUGACACAUUCUGUCUACGGGACUCUAACCCGUGGUGAUGUUGAAUCUUUUCCAACAUGAAGCUCUGUGCGCUAAUUGGAAUACUGCUGGUGUCAGAUCGGGAAAAGAUGCUGGGCUGGGUAUAAAAAGGCCUUAUUAGUCCACUAGGUCACAGUGUUCGGCAAACGCAUGAGUCAACAGAGCCAAAUAUCAACAGUACAACGACUGAAAUUUCUUUUGAGAGCCAAAUUUUUUAAACUGAAACUAUAUAGGCAGGUACAUUGUUGUUAACUUAAUUCAGGUACUCCUAAGGCUUAGGAAGAGCCACACUCAAGGGGCCAAGGAGCCGCAGGUGGCUCGCGAGCCGCAGCUUGCCGACCACGGCACUAGGAGAGUCCCAUCCCAGUGAGCCGUGCAACACUGAGUAAAUCCCUCGGUCUCUCUGAGGUUCAAACACAGCGGUCAUGGAAAUCUUUCUAAGCCUGUGAUUCUGAAUAAGAUGUUCUCAUCCUGUCGGCAAGUAGACCGGGCUGUGAUUUAAUUCCUGUGUCUGGGAUAGCCACUUGUCCACAUGGUGAUGUCGCGGCAAUAAGAAAUGUGUUAAAAAAUGGUCUGUGUUCGACUUUGUACUCCUUAUUAAAAUAAAACAUUUGUUAACGCAUUUUUGUUUCCCUUGAACAAUAAAUUUGACUGAAAGAUGUUACAUUUUUAUAACUUUGAAAGGAUUAAAUCAAAUCCUUAAGAACACACACCAUAUUACAACUUAAUAAAAAGCAGGGCACUAAAACCCUGCAGCUAGCGCGCCUGGGGGGAAACUCGCCUCCGGGAGAGCAGACAUUCCUGGAGGGCAGUGUCCAGGCUCCUCUCUUCUGCCCUCGCUUUAAAAACGCUU